UACGGAGGAUCCAAGCGUUAUCCGGAAUCAUUGGGUUUAAAGGGUCCGUAGGCGGUCUUUUAAGUCAGAGGUGAAAUCCUACAGCUCAACUGUAGAAUUGCCUUUGAUACUGAAGGACUUGAGUUAUUGUGAAGUAGUUAGAAUGUGUGGUGUAGCGGUGAAAUGCAUAGAGAUCACACAGAAUACCGAUUGCGAAGGCAGAUUACUAACAAUAUACUGACGCUGAGGGACGAAAGCGUGGGUAGCGAAC
rnacentral:rRNA from 1 species